GUGGGGAAUCUUCCGCAAUGGACGAAAGUCUGACGGAGCAACGCCGCGUGAGUGAUGAAGGUCUUCGGAUUGUAAAGCUCUGUUAAUCGGGACGAAAGAGCCUAGUGUGAAUAAUGCUAGGAAGUGACGGUACCGGAAUAGAAAGCCACGGCUAACUACGUGCCAGCAGCCUCGGUAAUACGUAGGUGGCAAGCGUUGUCCGGAAUUAGUGGGUGUAAAGCGCGCGAAGGCGGAUCUGCCAGUCUGUCUUAAAAGUUCUGGGCUUAACCCCGUGAUGUGAUGGAAACUAAAGAUCUAGAGUAUCGGAGAGGAAAGUGGAAUUCCUAGUGUAGCGGUGAAAUGCGUAGAUAUUAGGAAGAACACCAGUGGCGAAGGCGACUUUCUGGACGAAAACUGACGCUGAGGCGCGAAAGCCAGGGGAGCGAACGGGAUUAGAAACCCCAGUAGUCC
rnacentral:rRNA from 1 species